CGAUCUCGGCUCACUGCAAGCUCCGCCUCCCGGAUUCACGCCAUUCUCCUGCCUCAGCCUCCCGAGGAGCUGGGACUACAGGGACCCGCCACCACGCCCGGCUAAUUUUUUUGUAUUUUUAGUAGAGACGGGGUUUCACCGUGUUAGCCAGGAUGGUCUCGAUCUCCUGACCUCCUGAUCCGCCCGCCUCGGCCUCCCAAAGUGCUGGGAUUACAGGCGUGAGCCACCGCGCCCGGCCGGUACUCCGAAGCCCUCAGAUCGGCGACCUGGGCGCUGUAGGCACCGAGAAAAUACAGGCACCGAGCCAGAAGCAGUGCCGCAACCAAGAGACCUCGGCUUGGCGAAAUGGCGGCGUCUGGAGCCUGCGAGUGACGCCAGCUGGUGGGGCUGUCAAGGAGAACAUUCGUUACGGCGCAACCAACGGUACUGUCACCAAGAAACCGUCGUCUCUGAGAAAAAAAGAGACGUUCGGCCGCCGAGAAACUCCGUACAAGUGCUGUGACAGAAAAACCGCCGGCUCCGCGCAGCGGCAAAAGAGCCAACGGGAACGCCGGGUGCUGCGACCAUGACCCCGGCACUGGAGGACGUGGGAUGGAGAAUGGGACACACGGAGCGAGAAGGGAAACGUUUCGUGCAGACCAACUAGCGCCGCCGCCACCGGAAAACUGACUCGCCAGUGCUGCCAAUGAAGUGCGUGUGAGAAACCGAUGACUGGUGGGAGGAGCAGCGCUGGGCGCUGGACCCGCGAGUGUGAGAAUCUGGCGGCGCUAGGACCCUUCAGGCGCGGGCACGAGGCGAAACCCAGCGCUGUUGCCAAAGACAAAUGCGCGUUCUUUUGGGCGCCAUCAGCGGUGCAGCCAGUGAUCACUCCCAGGCUCUGAGAAACUAGAGAUGUCAGCCACAAACCCUCCGUUCAGGGAAAGUUUGCGGCGCCGUGACGGAUCGACUGGCACUGGGUGCAACAUUGUCUUGUGGCCUAGAGACUAGAAUAUAAAAACAAAAACCAAAUACAAAACUGCUGCUGGCAUUACUCCUACUCUCCCCCCUCAAGUCAGUGGCUUCAGGCUUAAGAAAACCUGUAUUUUUCUUGGCUGUGCCAUAAUCCGUAAUUACCGAGGCCCCCAGCGACCCACCCAGUGUGAUUCGCAGAGGGAAAGGAGCUGGAAUAAGGACCGUGAAUGGGGCGGAUGUGGCUCGUCCUGGGAGAGAGCUAAAGCUUAUGCUGGUCGCAAACAGCAUUACAUUGCAGGAAACUGCUCUUCCAAUGGCCGUGGCUGGGUCCUUCCACACCAUCCCUCUGCCCUAGACCUUUGUCCCCGUUCAGAGCCAUCAGAGAUUCUAGGAGAGCUGUCGACAACCGCAUCUCUUCGGAACUUGGAAACUCUAGGUUCAAGAUCUCCGUGGAGAAUGAAAGGCACAGUCGCCUGACCCGGGCAUCAGGCUUGCCCCGCACAUCAAGUCCCUCCCCUACUGGAUGGAACUCUGUGGCAAUCGCUCCUUAUUCUGAUGGUUCACUCUGUCAGAUAUCCUCGAUAUUUGGGGAUAGUAGUUCAAAAACAGCCGGGGAGGAAAAUGGGCUGAAAGAUUCCAGCGUUGGAUGUAGAAUUGACAGCGAGACAUACACCUCCUCUCUAAGCCCAGAGAAAAGCUCAAGUUGUGGUUCUCUGUCUCUAGCAGCAUGAUCUUCAAAAUGCAUCAUUGAUUUCUAUCUUCUGGGAAAUGCAAUGCAGGUGAACUUGUAAGUGCUCAAAUCCUCCAUCUCCUCACUUUUCAGACUGAGGCCUUUUUUUUUUUAAAUCUGAGAAGAAAUAUGGGACUGCCACUGCUCAGUAGGAAAAUGUCCUUUCCCACAAGCAUUUAUAUUUUAAUAAAAAUCUGCACUUUGUGAGUUGAGCCCCCUCAAAGAGACCUACAAACCCUGCCACAAAUAUCUCCAACCACACUCAUCAUUUCCGAUUUUCAUCACUGCUGCUCCUGUGCAAACCAAACUAUCCUUUCCCUGGGGCAUCCUAGGUAGAGGCCAUGCCAGGACAAAGGCAGAGAUAUGCCUGCCUGGUAAGGAAAUCCAUUUUGGCCUUGUAAUUCUCACCCUCUCCCAAGAUGUUUGCCUCAAUAUCUCCUUCCCACCUUACCCCGUCUUCAGCUAGCCAAAACAUUCCCUGGUAUUUGAGGCCCUUCCAAUUUCCUCCUGGUUUUGUGGGUGGGAGAAUAAAGAAAAAACUGCACUGUUCCCACCCACAUAGUUACAGCCACUUUAUCAAACGGAAGAGCAGUCUGGAGCCAUUGCAAAACAAAAUACCUGCCACAACUCCUCUCUUCUCAUUUCGACUCCAGCUUUUCAUCUUAGCAAAAAAGUUGCAAUCAGCACCCCCUAGACGGAAGGAAUAUCCUGUCUUAAUGGGAGUCCAUAGGAGGCUGCAGGCUGCUCCCCUACAGAGACUAACAUCAAGGUAGUUGCAGAAUUCAGAUUCUAAUUACAGUGUGGUUGGAGGCGGGGUGGAUUCCAGGGAGGUCAGGAAGAGGUAAAGUACAGAAUUGAGCUCCUUGGGAGGAGGUCAUAGGAACUUUGCAGUAUGAAAAUGGCUAGAGAUUGGGUAGAAUUGAGCAGGCUGGCAAUGGCAGUUUUGUGUGGGUGGUAGGACCUAGGAUUCAAACUUGAGGGCAAAUUGUGGAGCACAUACGACAAAUGAUGUAGAGCCUUUCCUAUUUCCCUUCCUGCUGUGUCAUCCGAAACAAUAAAUAAUAAAGAAUUAACAAAGACUGAAAAAAAAAAAAAAAAAAAA
rnacentral:lncRNA from 1 species